rnacentral:tRNA from 1 species
GCUGAGUUGGUAAAGAAUCUGCCUACAAUGCAGGAUACCCAGGUUCAAUUCCUGG